GGGCUCGCCCGGGUCUCCCGGCUGGUGUCGGGACCCGGGAGCGUGCCGCACGCGCGCGCGAUCCGUGGUCACUGCGGAAACCCACCCGCACCUGCCUCGGGUCCUCCCGAACACGCCUCUCUAGUUUCGUUUGCUACGCAAGUGACUAGAAACCAACACCAAUUGCAGGUCUCCUUGGUGGCUUUCUUGAAUGUGACCAAGGAGAGGUUUCCCCAAAGCGAGACUGCCCUAGGACUGCCAUCUAAUGAAUAAAUGCUGCGGAGACCAGGUUCUCAAAGGAGACACAGACGCAGCAACGGCUGGAGAAAGGAGUUUGAAAUACGUGGACUUUUAAAAAUAGUGAUUGGACCACGUGUCGUCUGUAAUGUGGUCGGGUUUCAUGACUCAGGCUAAUUGAUGUCAAUAAUAAAUAAAAAGAAGAUGGCUAAUAAAAGAGUUGUGAAUGUCUAGAUCGAGUGGAAGUGUUUGUCUCAUAAACAAUCAGGCUGUCUGGUAAGAGGGGAUCUGUUCUAAAGGAAAGACAUUUAUUAUCAGCCAUCGGGCUUUCUGGGUAGAGCUGGGACUGCAGAGGGAUCAGGUUUGUCACCUGACUUUUGGGAAGCCCCAUUUCCUCCAGAAAGCCACACAAGCAAACUGGUGGCUGUCAGUGGGGGUAGAAGCCACUUUGGAAUGGUCCUGGCCCCUGUUAGGACUGUGUGCACACUGCCAGGCUUGUGGCACUGCUUUGGAUGGGCUCCAAUCAAGGACAUACAGGAGGAAGCAGGAUGAAAAGGGCUAUUUGAAUGGAACUUUCAUUCACUUCUGGGUCUGCCUGCCCAUCAAGUCUGAGGGCAGGUCUGCAAAGGGUUCCUCUGUGCCAAGGUGAGCCACUGCCAGCCUAGAGCCCUGCAGAGCUCUGACUUUGCCUCAGAAUCUUCUCUCAGCUUUGUGCUCCUGGCAGGAAACAGCAAUUGAAUGGAUUUGGCACUGGUGGCAAAAUCUAUUUGCUACAUCUGUAGUUAAGCUCUGUGGAACAAUUUGAUUCUCUGCUGCUGCCUGGAAUGAAGAUGUCAUGGCUGGAGCUCCAGCAGCCAUCCUGGACCAAGAGAUCAUGCACGGCAGCAACAAGAUAGAAGGACCUUGGGUUGAGGACAUUCUGGAACCUCCAUAUCACCUCUGGCCUUUGUUUAUGUAUGAGAGAUGAAUUUCUACCUGUUUCAAAUACUAUUUUUUAAGUCUUUGUUAUUUGUGGACAAACAAGACUAUAAUCUAUAUAAAAGAUGCUUUCAAGCACCAUCUUAGUAUAUGUGCUGCCAAAGUGAGCACUCAAGCACCAUCUUAAUUGACUCACUUUUCUGUCCCUCAGCCUCUUUUUUCCUGUAACACUCAGAAGAGAUGCCACCUACUCAGAAGAGAAGCCAUCCUGGCUUCCCAGAUGCAGGUCAGAUGCCCUUCCUCAGGCUUCAGAGCCCCUGGCAUUGCUUCCCACCGUGGCACUGUUAUGGAUCAAAUCUGUUGAUAUUUUGCCACCAUUACCAGAUUCCCUGAAGGAGCACAGGGCCUGACCAUGGGUUCUCAGUAAGCUUGCUACAUUUAAAAAAGAAAAAAAGGUGAGCCUGGGUGGCUCAGUCGGUUAAGCAUCUGCUUUUGGCUCAGGUCAUGAU